rnacentral:lncRNA from 1 species
UUGCUCCAUGCAGCUGAAGUACUCCUGAGAGUCCGGGGCCAGUGCCUGGGGUCUGCACAGACCAGGGAGUUGGUGACCCAGGACAGCAGGGAGGAGGUGGGGCCGGGGGCAGGGCCGCACGGUGGAAGCACCGAGGGGAUUUCGACAAUGACCACCCCCCUAUCCCCUAGACAGGACCGCCCUUGUCAGGACAGCCUGCAGGGUCCUUAGUCUCAGGUGGCGUCCCUGCAAAGCAGACCCCGAGACAAGGGUCUGGGCACAAGUGGCUGUUCUGGAGGGGAGUCUAGGAUUUGCUGCGAGGCACCGGGGGAAGCAGGAUGGGAAGCAGGGAGCCCGCAAAGCAACUCAGCCUGCUGGGGACCCUCCGAGAACAGAGGCCCAUGAUGUGCC